UUGAGGGUUGUGUGGGAUGAGACAGUAGCUGCCCAGGGUAGGCCCAUGUCUCAGUGAAGCAUUCCUGAGGGCUUGAACUCAUUAAUUUUAAAAUGUAGGGUAAAAAUUCAGCCAAUCUUUUUAUUCCUGAAUGGCAUGAGAUGUGGCUCUGCCUUGGGACGUUUACAUAUCCUAUUCUCUCUUCCACUAGAGGCCAUGUGGCAAACACUUUAACCUCCUGAACGUUCUACUCAAAGAUAUGAACACCCUGUCCAAUAUUUCAACAUCCUACCUCUCAGUAUCAGUACCCCUUCUAUCCUCCUUUCCUGAGUUUUCUUAACUAUCAUUAUCCAACAAACAAUAUUGUUUUGUUUCCUUCCCUAGAACGUAAGAUCCACAAAGGCAGAAAUUAUUGCCUGCUUUUCUUUACUGCUUUAUUCCCACCCAUAUUAUCCAGAUACAUACACAUAUUGAGAAUACACAGGAUAUAUUGGUAAUACACAGGGUUGUAAAGUAGGUACUAGGGACCGUACAAAGAGUAUGAGGUGGCGUUCUUCACCAGGAGAAGCUACACAGUAGUUAAAUCAGACACCCAUGCCAAAUGAACAGUACAAUCUAAGUUUAAGACAAAUGUACUAACAGAAAUUGCUGAAAGGAGAAAGAAAUCAGUGUGGGCUGAAUGAGUAGGACUCGAGGACAUCUGUUUAAUUAAUAAGCUGUGCGGGUGGCUGUCACCAUACUAACAAAAGAGGAAAGGAGUUAAAAUGACGCUGAGGUUGGAACCCAUAACUGGGAGGUCAGUGGUGCAACUAGUAGGUGACAAAGGUACAUUGGACAAGGCACAGAAAGCUGGAAAUAGUGUCUCCGCUCAUUUUAGUGUCCAAGCCAAGACCUGAACCCACAAUCAGGACUAUCCUCCUCGCCCGCUCUGAUUCUGACAUACCCUGCAGUUUUCUCAGAAAACAUCUGGAUCCCCGCUGUACUUUGUUCACUUGGCUCACAGAUAGGGCUGAAGAUCAAACCCAGGGCCUUAGGCACGCCUAGGCAAUUACUCUGUCCCUGAGCUACACCCCCAGCCUCUGUGAUCAGGAUUCUUUGAUGCCAUCUCUAUACCACUUUCAAGACUGGUUGUGUGAGGUGUGGUUCUUGCACUUGGCCCUAUCUACACUGUAAACUUUGGUUCUAGGGGCACCUGGAACCUAGAAGAGGAAGUUUCAUGGUGUAAUUCUCUAAGUAAUUGUUUUAUUGUCUUUAUUUUAC